CAGACUCGACAAUCUUAACCAAAAAUGAACUGCUCAAACACAUAAGGGAAAAAAGAUAUGAGACUUCGUACGCCAUGGCAUACCUGAAAUCCAUUUUGAAUUUAGGCAACAAAUUAUAACAUCGGAGAAGGUAAAAGUUUUUUUUUCACUUUAUCUAUAAAGCACUAGUUGAGCCAUGGGAUUCUGUUCAUAAAAUGUUGUUCUCUUGGACAUAAACGUAACCCCACCAUUGAUUUAAUUUUCUCGGGAAGAAAGAAACUCAAGAAAACUAACUGAGUAUAUAUCUUCCGUUCUAAAGCACACACAAGUGUAUUGACUUGCUUAAACCCAAUUUUUAGAGCUGCACUGCCUAGUUAGAUUAACCUAGAAACAAAUCUCCUAGUAUAACUUAGACUCUAGACUUAUUGCUAGAAUGUGAAGGUCCAUGUGCCUCCUUAAGUUUUCAUAGUUAUUUAGUUGAAAAGUUCAAUAUUGUUUUGACAGAAAAUAAAAGAAUUUCUUAAUAUGAAUACUCCAGCACUGUAGUUCUCAUAAACAAUUAACAACACACUAACUCCUGAAGCCUAAAGAUACACUAAUCGGCAAAUAAACGACAGCAAAACAAAGACAAAACAAAGAAAUCAACACUUUAUUGAUCAACAAAAGUCUAAAGUCGUAAUCACGGACCACGUCGAUUGUUAACUAAUUAGAGAGAAUUUUUCUAAUUGAAAUUAAAAAUAUGUUUAGGAAAGCCGACAAAAAACUGAUUCGAGGUCUUUGCUUUACUUUAUCUGAUUACCUUCACAAAGAGUAAAGAAAUAUAUAAAUUGAAAGAAUUAGCUACCUCAAAUAUUUGUUCCCAAUUUGUCUUUUACUUGACAAAUGAAUAAAUUAAAAAAUAAGUGCAUAACAUGAAUCUUACCUAGUGUAAAGGAGAUAAGACUUAAGUCGGCUUCAAACUGGAGAUGCCUCAACAAGCUCUCUGUUGAUGAAUAAGAGCAAAAAUUUAAGAAAACAAAUCUACUUUUAAGAAUAAGAGUUGGAUAGAGAUUAAAACCUCUAGGGACGGCUGGUCUUUUUUUAUGGCUGAACAAAUCUGUUGGAUUUUCCCGUAAGCGUUUCUCGGUGGUAGCUAGAAUGUGGACAGCAAGUUUUUAGUGCUUGUAUCAAAUUUAGACUUUUUAUUUUUUGUAUAGGUAUUAGGACUUUUACUUUUUUUUUCUUGAGACG
rnacentral:lncRNA from 1 species